UACGUAGGGGCGAGCGUUAUCCGGAAUUACUGGGCGUAAAGGGUGCGUAGGCGGCCUUUUAAGUCAGAUGUGAAAGGCUACGGCUUAACCGUAGUUAGCAUUUGAAACUAAGAGGCUUGAGUGCAGGAGAGGAGAGUGGAAUUCCUAGUGUAGCGGUGAAAUGCGUAGAUAUUAGGAGGAACACCAGUAGCGAAGGCGGCUCUCUGGACUGUAACUGACGCUGAGGCACGAAAGCGUGGGGAGCAAACAGGAUUAGAUACCCCGGUAGUCCCUGA
rnacentral:rRNA from 1 species